rnacentral:rRNA from 1 species
GUAGGGAAUAUUGGGCAAUGGUCGGAAGACUGACCCAGCCAUGCCGCGUGCAGGAAGACGGCCCUCUGGGUUGUAAACUGCUUUUAUCUGGGAAGAAAAAGGCCAUGCGUGGCAAAUUGCCGGUACCAGAUGAAUAAGCACCGGCUAACUCCGUGCCAGCAGCCGCGGUAAUACGGAGGGUGCGAGCGUUGUCCGGAUUUAUUGGGUUUAAAGGGUGCGUAGGCGGCUGAUUAAGUCAGCUGUGAAAGACUUCGGCUUAACCGGAGCAGUGCCGUUGAUACUGGUUGUCUUGAGUGUCGGAGGGGUACGUGGAAUUGGUGGUGUAGCGGUGAAAUGCAUAAAUACCAUCAGGAACACCGAUAGCGAAGGCAUUGUACUGGCCGACAACUGACGCUGAUGCACGAAAGUGUGGGGAUCGAACAGGAUUAGAUACCCUUGUAGUCC